rnacentral:rRNA from 1 species
GAUGAACGCUGGCGGCGUGCCUAAUACAUGCAAGUCGAGCGAACGGACGAGAAGCUUGCUUUUCUGAUGUUAGCGGCGGACGGGUGAGUAACAUGUGGAUAACCUACCUAUAAGACUGGGAUAACUUCGGGAAACCGGAGCUAAUACCGGAUAAUAUUUUGAACCGCAUGGUUCAAAAGUGAAAGACGGUCUUGCUGUCACUUAUAGAUGGAUCCGCGCUGCAUUAGCUAGUUGGUAAGGUAACGGCUUACCAAGGCAACGAUGCAUAGCCGACCUGAGAGGGUGAUCGGCCACACUGGAACUGGGACACGGUCCAGACUCCUACGGGAGGCAGCAGUAGGGAAUCUUCCGCAAUGGGCGAAAGCCUGACGGAGCAACGCCGCGUGAGUGAUGAAGGUCUUCGGAUCGUAAAACUCUGUUAUUAGGGAAGAACAUAUGUGUAAGUAACUGUGCACAUCUUGACGGUACCUAAUCAGAAAGCCACGGCUAACUACGUG